AACGAACGCUGGCGGCAUGCCUAACACAUGCAAGUCGAACGAGACCUUCGGGUCUAGUGGCGCACGGGUGCGUAACGCGUGGGAACCUGCCCUUAGGUUCGGAAUAACUCCCCGAAAGGGGUGCUAAUACCGGAUAAUGUCUUCGGACCAAAGAUUUAUCGCCUUUGGAUGGGCCCGCGUUGGAUUAGCUAGUUGGUAGGGUAAAAGCCUACCAAGGCGACGAUCCAUAGCUGGUCUGAGAGGAUGAUCAGCCACACUGGGACUGAGACACGGCCCAGACACCACGGGGGGAAGGCGGGGGGAAUUAGGGAAGAGGGGGGAAAGCCUGAACCAGCAAGGGCCGGGGGAGGGUAGAGGCCGUUGGGGUGGAAAAGUCUUUUCCCCGGGGAUGAAAAGGAGAGACCGGGAAAAAAAGGCCCGGACUAACCCGGUG
rnacentral:rRNA from 1 species